AAAAUGGAUGAUCUCCAAAAAGAGAAAAGCAAAAAGAUAACUUGACAUGCUAUUAACUCCUAGUAUUUUUAGUAUUUUAAAAAUUCACUCUAUAUCUCUUCUCAGAGAAAUAUGCAAUGAUGACAUUUCCAAGAAGUGAUGGCAUCUGGCGCUAAGGACAAAGAAUGGGAUUUUGCCACAGGGAUCUUAUUCUCCCACAUGUUCUGUCUGAAGGAGAAAGUUAUCUGAGGCCUUAUAUGAUGCAAAACUUUGGACUCAAAGAAAUUAAAUCACUUGCCCAAGGUUACAUAGCUGCCCCUGGCAAACACCAUUCUACUUUCCGUCUCUAUGAAUUUGACUACUCGAAGUACCUCAUGUGAAAUGUUGGUGCCAAAUGAACUUUUCUGGUUCUUCUGAAUAGGAUGAAGAGAUCCUCCUAGCUUGGCGGAAUACUCUGCUCUGAUGGAAGUACCAUCCUGGUCCAAACAUGAAAGAAUUCCCAACAUCAAGAUUGAUUGAAACAUAUUCAAUGGGUGGUGACCAGAUGGAUAUAAACGGGCUGUGGAAAAAGAGAAUGCAUGGCCAAAAAUGGUGGUGCUCUCUGUCCAAAAACUGAGGCCCUAUGACCAUGAAUGAAGCCAGAGGGCAGGUAGGAAUAGAUCAUUUGCUCCAGAAGAAGCUGGUUGCCAUGUCUUGAGGACAGUAAACCCUCUGGGGAGGUUCCUGUGGUAAGGAACAAGGGCUCCUGGCAAUAGCCUCUGAGUGAGCCACCUUGAAAAUGGAUUGUCCAGCCCCAGUCAAGCUUUCAGAUGACUGUAGCUCCUGCCAAUGUCUUCACCACAACCUCAUGAGAUCCCAAGCUACAACCACUCAGUUAAGUUAUGCCAAAAUUCCUGAUUCACAGAAAUUGACAUACAGGAGAGGUCACAGUUAAGAUCUUGAUGUUCUAUCUUGACCCAUAAUAUAGGAACUUCAUCUUUUGGGAAGCACCAGGGAGAGCUGCCUGUGCCUGGCAGAAGCUGCCCAUGCCCCACUGAUACCCCACAGUACUUCCUGUUCUGCUUAGUACUCCUGCUUCUUUCUACAAACAACUGUGAUUCUCUACCUGGGAGCUUCCUCUGGCCACAGGAGCCUGCUCACCUGAUUGGGACACCCUAGCAGUACUGGCUCAUAGAUGGAAGGGACUUGCCUUGUCGCUGAUGAGACUUUCGACUUGGACUUUUGAGUCAAUGCUGGAAUGAGUUAAGACUUUGGGGAACUGUUGGAAGGGUGUGAUUGUGUUUUGAAUUGUGAGGACAUGAGAUUUUGAAGAGGCUAAUGGCAGCGUCCCCACCUAAAUCUCUUCUUGAAUUGUAGUUCCCAUAAUCCCCACGUGUCGUGGGGUGGAGCCGGUGGAGAUAAUUGAAUCAUGGGAACACUUUCCCCCAUGCUGUUAUUGUGAUUGUGAAUUCUCACGAGAUCUGAUGGUUGUAUAAACGCCUUCCCUCUUCGCUGGGCACUCAUUUUUCUCCUUCCUGCCACCAUGUGAAGAAGGAUAUGCUUGCUUCUUGUGCCAUGAUUACAAGAACACACUCAGAAAUUUUCUCAACACAGUUUCUAUGCAGAGAAGAGAUGUGGGACAGAUUUGAACUGCUGUCAUAUUUGUAUGAACCCAAGACAUUUUCCAAGACCAAGAGGGAUAAAGACAGCAAUUUCUAUGACUGGCAUUUUACGUGCAUGCACUGUUUCCAAGUGUUCUUGUGUUCUGUGCCUUAAACAUUCUGUGUUGCAACUUUAUGAAUUGAAUUAAAGAUAAUCCCAAGCCCCCAAUUGUCUCAAAAAGUGAAAAAGUAAAUGUUAUAGAAAGAAAAGCGGGAAAAACUUUAAGCAUGAAAUAAAAGAUGGGUUGUGAUAAAAGAGGACUGAAGAAGGAAAAGGAAUGAAAGGUUCUGCCAUCCUUCAUGGCAGCCCACUCCACUUGGGAAGAAGAGACUGGGUCACGGGAAUGCUUUAAUGUGGAAACCCUGAAUUCGUUCCACACAUCUGCCUUCUGGGGACACAGACUUUGCAUUCUGGUAGACCAACUGAUGCCACCCAGACCCAUGACCCAUGCCAAAGAACUGAUUCAACUGGUUCUGUGACUCCCACCCAUGAAGUCACUCAGGACAUGAAGACAGUUUUGACACUCCUGUGAUUUCAUCCCUGACCAAAUCGCAGUUCCCAUUCCUUAGCACCCCACACACACCAAAUCAUCCUAAAAAACCCUCACCUCCAAAUUCAUGGGGAGGCAGAUUUGAGAGAUAUUGCCCAUCCUCCCCACUCAGC
ensembl:lncRNA STXBP5-AS1 STXBP5 antisense RNA 1